UACGGAGGGGACUAGCGUUGUUCGGAAUUACUGGGCGUAAAGCGCGCGUAGGCGGAUUUGCAAGUCGGGGGUGAAAUCCCGGGGCUCAACCUCGGAACUGCCUUCGAUACUGCAAAUCUCGAGUCCGGAAGAGGUGAGUGGAAUUCCUAGUGUAGAGGUGAAAUUCGUAGAUAUUAGGAAGAACACCAGUGGCGAAGGCGGCUCACUGGUCCGGUACUGACGCUGAGGCGCGAAAGCGUGGGGAGCAAACAGG
rnacentral:rRNA from 1 species